UACGUAGGGAGCAAGCGUUGUCCGGAAUCAUUGGGCGUAAAGAGCGCGCAGGCGGUCGUUCAAGUCGAGUGUGAAAGCCCCCGGCUCAACUGGGGAGGGUCACUCGAUACUGAUCGACUCGAAGGCAGGAGAGGGUAGUGGAAUUCCCGGUGUAGUGGUGAAAUGCGUAGAUAUCGGGAGGAACACCAGUGGCGAAGGCGACUACCUGGCCUGUUCUUGACGCUGAGGCGCGAAAGCUAGGGGAGCAAACGGG
rnacentral:rRNA from 1 species